AGCACGGUGGUUUAGCGGUUAGAACGCUGGCCUUGUAAUCCUGGGGUCUCGGGUUCGAUUCCCGGCGGUGCCC
rnacentral:tRNA from 1 species